AUGAUUUACCAGCCGGGGCGGGGGUGGAGGGGCGCUCCCCGCCUCCGCCCCGCGGACCUUGGAGCCGGGGCCUGGCUACGCUGUGGCUUCUCUCCAUCGAAAAUGUUUUCCUUGGGCUCCCAUCUCCCAGCGCUGCCGGGGCUGGCGUGGGGCUGGGCACUGCUGGAUGCGCUCCUGCAAGGGCUGGUGGGUGCCUGCGCCGUCUCGGUGCUCUGCAGCCUCCUAAAGGUUUAUCUCUACAUCCAGUGCGUGAACAACCCGGAGAGGCAGGCAGAGAAGGAGGCGAUCGCGAGGCAGCGGCCGCUGCUGGAGCCGCUGCAUGUGCUGGUGCUGAGCGCUGUGCUGGCCCUGGUGGGCUCCCGAGUGGCUGCGCUGGUGGUGCUGGAGUUCUCCCUGCGCGCCGUCUCCACCAUCCUCUCCCUCGGCAAGGGCACCCACAGCAGCCAGCUGUACGUGCUGUGCCAGUACUCUCUGGGCUGCGGGGUGUCGUGCGGCCUCAGUUUCCUGCUGGAGGGGGCUCCUCACCGCAGCUGGAACCUGCUGCUGGCGGCGGGGCUGGCGGCGCUGCUGGCGCUGCACUCGCGGCGCCUGGCCCGGCACGUCUGCACCUUGUACGAGCUGCACAGCCGGGCUCGCUACUGCGGGGUGUGCAUCCUGCUGCUGGCCUCGGGCCACGGCAUCCCCCGCCUGCUGCGCACCGCCCUGGGGCUCACCUUCGCCGUGGCCGACCUGGCGGCCGUGGAGCUCAUCAACCGCGACUUCCUCUCCACGGGCGAGGCCGUGCGCUUCUGGACCCCGCUGACCAUCUGCUACACCCUGCUGGUGGUGUACAUGCAGGAGGAGUCCCGGCAGAGCACGGGCAGGGGGCCGGUGUUCCGGACCGUGCUGGUGAGGAUGGGCGGCCUCUUCAUCCUCCUCCUCACCGUGGGCCGAUGGAUCGACAUCCUGCACGUCUUGGUGUCUCUGCUGGGGGAGCUCUGGUGCCUGCUCCGCUCCGGGGUGCUGCUGGACUCCUGCUGGAGGCAGGAUUUUGCCCAGCAGCCUCGCUCGGACGCUCUGUCGGGCUCCAGGUCGCAGCAGGAGUCCCGAUGAGCUGCAGGGUGUGACCAGAAACUCGGGGUGGCACCCCCAGAACCCCCCAUCACACAUCCCCCGUGGGGACUAAGGGAAAAAGGGCUUCUGGAAGGCAUCCGACCCCAUCCACGGGGUAGAGGAGGUCGGAGGGAAGACUCACGUUGCCCUGGUUUUUGGGGGGACCCCGUGAGGCUGCAGCACUACUGGGCGAAAUCCAUGGGCAGAGCAAGCUGGGGUCCCAUUGUGCUGGAAAGGCACUUGGGAUGGUGGCGGCGCAGCUUUUUGAGGGAGGUGGGUAAAAUUCCAAAAUUCCACUUUGGGAAGGGAAACUGAGGCACAGAGUGGGGCGACUCUGGCUGGGACAUGCCCCUGUGCCUCAGUUUCCCCCGGGCUGCAGCCCACUGAGCUGUGCCAGGGGGCAACAGGCCCUGUGAAGGUGGGGUGCAGUUUGGGGAAGGGGGGUUCUGGGGAUGGAUCCCCG